UACGUAGGGUGCGAGCGUUAAUCGGAAUUACUGGGCGUAAAGCGUGCGCAGGCGGUUCGUUGUGUCGGCGGUGAAAGCCCCGGGCUUAACCUGGGAAUGGCCGUUGAAACUGGCGAACUGGAGUGUGGGAGAGGGGGGUGGAAUUCCGCGUGUAGCAGUGAAAUGCGUAGAGAUGCGGAGGAACACCGAUGGCGAAGGCAGCCCCCUGGGCUAACACUGACGCUCAGGCACGAAAGCGUGGGGAGCAAACAGG
rnacentral:rRNA from 1 species